rnacentral:misc_RNA from 1 species
UAUGCCAGCGGUCGUACCACCGGUGAGUGAUAUAUUCCAUCAUCUGUUUCUUGUUUUCUCAAUUUGAUGCAUGGGAGUUAGAGCUACAGCAUUGAUUCUUUUUAUUUUUGUUAUAUAUAUAAAAAGGUCGAGUUGUGAAAUCCCCAAAUGAUAUUUAGAAGCAGAGAUCAUAUUUGUCUGAUAUUAGAAUUGAGAUAGAGAAAUGGUUCACCUUAUAAUGAACAUUUCUAGUUGAUUGAAAAUUAGUCAAAGCUCAGAAAAAAAGGGUACAUGUAAAUCACUAUGAAGAAGGGAAUAUUCUUAAUAUUUGUAAACCAUCAGCAUUUCUAUUGUCUAAGUUGCCAUGCAAUCUAUUUUCAAAAAUUAGCAGCAUAGGUCGCAUGACUAACAAAAACAUGAAUUAAAUUUGUUUCCAGUAAUUAUUUUUGGAAAUUUAUAUAAUAUCUAUUGGAUAACUUUAGCCUCAUGAAAGCCACACAGGUGUCUUUAACAACAUUCAUUUUGUAUAGCCUACUCUUGCCAUGGCUCUUUUAUGAUGGAGAUGAAUUGUGGGAAUUAAUAUUUUCAUGAUCCAUGUGGUAUGUUUAGGUAUUGUUCUGGACUCUGG